AUUGAACGCUGGCGGCAGGCCUCACACAUGCAAGUCGAGCGAGCGGCGGACGGGUGAGUAAUGUAUGGGGACUGCCCGAUAGAGGGGGAUAACUACUGGAAACGGUGGCUAAUACCGCAUACUAUCCGAUAACCCAUAUGGGAUUAGCUAGUAGGUGGGGUAAAGGCUCACCUAGGCGACGCUCUCUAGCUGGUCUGAGAGGAUGAUCAGCCACAGUGUGACUGAUACACGGCCCAGACUCCGACGGAGGCAGCAGUGGGGAAUAUUGCACAAUGGGCGCAAGCCUGAUGCAGCCAUGCCGCGUGUAUGAAGAAGGCCUUAGGGUUGUAAAGUACUUUCAGUCGGGAGGCGUUACCGACAGAAGAAGCACCGGCUAACUCCGUGCCAGCAGCCGCGGUAAUAC
rnacentral:rRNA from 1 species